rnacentral:rRNA from 1 species
GAUGAACGCUGGCGGCGUGCCUAAUACAUGCAAGUCGAGCGAACAGACGAGGAGCUUGCUCCUUUGACGUUAGCGGCGGACGGGUGAGUAACACGUGGGUAACCUACCUAUAAGACUGGGAUAACUUCGGGAAACCGGAGCUAAUACCGGAUAAUAUUUCGAACCGCAUGGUUCGAUAGUGAAAGAUGGCUUUGCUAUCACUUAUAGAUGGACCUGCGCCGUAUUAGCUAGUUGGUAAGGUAACGGCUUACCAAGGCAACGAUACGUAGCCGACCUGAGAGGGUGAUCGGCCACACUGGAACUGAGACACGGUCCAGACUCCUACGGGAGGCAGCAGUAGGGAAUCUUCCGCAAUGGGCGAAAGCCUGACGGAGCAACGCCGCGUGAGUGAUGAAGGUCUUCGGAUCGUAAAACUCUGUUAUUAGGGAAGAACAAACGUGUAAGUAACUGUGCACGUCUUGACGGUACCUAAUCAGAAAGCCACGGCUAACUACGUGCCAGCAGCCGCGGUAAUACGUAGGUGGCAAGCGUUAUCCGGGAUUAUUGGGCGUAAAGCGCGCGUAGCGGUUUUUUAAGUCUGAUGUGAAAGCCCACGGCUCAACCGUGGAGGGUCAUUGGAAACUGGAAAACUUGAGUGCAGAAGAGGAAAGUGGAAUUCCAUGUGUAGCGGUGAAAUGCGCAGAGAUAUGGAGGAACACCAGUGGCGAAGGCGACUUUCUGGUCUGUAACUGACGCUGAUGUGCGAAAGCGUGGGGAUCAAACAGGAUUAGAUACCCUGGUAGUCCACGCCGUAAACGAUGAGUGCUAAGUGUUAGGGGGUUUCCGCCCCUUAGUGCUGCAGCUAACGCAUUAAGCACUCCGCCUGGGGAGUACGACCGCAAGGUUGAAACUCAAAGGAAUUGACGGGGACCCGCACAAGCGGUGGAGCAUGUGGUUUAAUUCGAAGCAACGCGAAGAACCUUACCAAAUCUUGACAUCCUUUGACCCUUCUAGAGAUAGAAGUUUCCCCUUCGGGGGACAAAGUGACAGGUGGUGCAUGGUUGUCGUCAGCUCGUGUCGUGAGAUGUUGGGUUAAGUCCCGCAACGAGCGCAACCCUUAAGCUUAGUUGCCAUCAUUAAGUUGGGCACUCUAAGUUGACUGCCGGUGACAAACCGGAGGAAGGUGGGGAUGACGUCAAAUCAUCAUGCCCCUUAUGAUUUGGGCUACACACGUGCUACAAUGGACAAUACAAAGGGCAGCGAAACCGCGAGGUCAAGCAAAUCCCAUAAAGUUGUUCUCAGUUCGGAUUGUAGUCUGCAACUCGACUACAUGAACGCUGGAAUCGUUAGUAAUCGUAGAUCAGCAUGCUACGGUGAAUACGUUCCCGGGUCU